AACGUAGGUGGCAAGCGUUAUCCGGAAUUACUGGGCGUAAAGGGUGUGCAGGCGGGGGGACAAGUGGGGUGUGAAAUCUCCCAGCUUAACUGGGAUAGGUUAUGCCAGACUGUUCUUCUAGAGGACGAGAGAGGGAUGCGGAAUUCCAGGUGUAGCGGUGAAAUGCGUAGAUAUCGGAAGGAACACCAGUGGCGAAGGCGACUCUUUGGCCUGUAACUGACGCUGAGGCGCGAAAGCGUGGGGAGCAAACAGG
rnacentral:rRNA from 1 species